UCUUGAGUCUUCUGUGUUCCCUUCAUUCCUCAUCGUCAACAAUGCCCCUCUCCGUCUCCCUCUCCCUCUCCCUGAUUUUCUUAGAUCUACGAGGUUCUAGGAUUCGUCUUGGAUUUCCGUCUUCAUACCGGCAUGCUUCCUUCGACGAUCUACAAUUUGAUCAUGGAUACUAGGGCGUUCGGUAGGCGAUUCUAUUUUUGUUUUCGAUUUGAAGGUAUGUGCUUCAAGAAGCGUUUUCUGUUCGGCCCUGCCUUCAGAUCUGGAAGAGCCUGUCGCUGAUUCGACAGAUCUGUUGAGCGAUUGCGAUUCUUGAUCUAAUCGAUCGAGGUAGCACGGGGUGUCUUCGUCCAGGAAUCAUCUGGAAUCUAAGACGGUAUCUAUUUAUCCUGCUCUGCGGUUGUUGAUCUCCGUCAUAAACGGCAUCUAUAUUGGUCCGGCUGAUUGAAGAUAGUUCUUUCUCGUGGUUUGUGAAGAUGCUGAUGACGCUCGUUCUUCUCUGAAGGCUGUAGAAAUGGUUUGUUGGAUGUGUUUUUUGUUAGGAGAGUAUAUGAGUACGUGACUCAGUUUCUGCGAUGUUCUUGGUAUGCGACCACAUGCGAGGAAGGUAUAGUGUCUGGCUUGUGUAUGUGGCAGACUGGAGUAAAUUUGAGAUGCACUGUUUUCUUUGUUGUCAAGCGACCUUUGCCAUGUCAGGUGCGCUUGCAUGGCAGGUCAAAAAGUAAUAAAAUUUUCCUUUUUGUGUUUCGAGGGGAGAUGGCACGGGGUUUUGCCCGGCUCUCCCUUCGUCGUGUCUCGCAUCUCUUUUAUUUGUUGGUUCUUUUUGCUUCUUCCAUCUGAUUUAUAUCGGUCCAUUAGACGUCCUAGUUGCCUAAAUGGUUACUUCUAACCAUUACGAAAGGCAAAAAGGACGUCUAUGGUCUUAUGCGUUUGAUCGCCAGCAAAAGGAAGGAUGGGAUUAACUCCAAAGGAUAUCAUUGCAAGAGGUACACUAAUCUAUGCCUUAAACCUUUUGACAUCAAGUUUCAAAAUUGACCUUGUAUCCUCUUCUCUUAUUAAUAAUUUCAUUUAGCCUUACUACAAUAGAGCACAGGAUUGUUCCAAAUCCGGCAAUUGUUCUCAUAAUUUCGUUGAUAGCUAUUAUGUCAACUGGAAGUAUUCUAUACGCUAAAUAUUGGUCUUAAAAUAUUUUAACUGUUAAUUUCGGUAUAUACUUGCAAGAUGUCAUUGACCUUCCAAUAUCGUAAUAUUAAUUUGCCAUUUCUUCCACAUUGAAGAUUUUGUGUUAAGUCUUAUCUGAUACUCCUCCAUACUACAUAGCAUAGUUGUAUGCAGAUCUGGAAAUUAUUCUACGAGAUAUCUUCGAACGCCGUUCUGAUUACACAAAGAUUAAUUUGCUCAGUUAAUUAUUAAUCGUUGGACAGCUUGCAAUACAUCGUUAGUUUGUGAAAUUGUUUCAGUUUGCAUGUGACACGAUUUUGAAUGUGGUAUUACAUAGUUGAAAUUCCUAUCAAUUUCUACCCGGUACUACUGUAACUUCUACCUCGAAAGAUGAUAGUGCAGUUUCUGUAUUAUGUCCAUUUAUGAUAUUGGUGUUGUAGUUUGAUGUAUGUGACUAGCUUCAAGGAUCAUCUGGCCUAAUCUGAUUAGGCUGUUGGGGUUCGAGUUUGUUACUGGCGUUAUUGUGAAGGUUACAAGAUUCUGUGGACUGAUGGCUGUGGUGAAUCUGCCGGAGUGUUGCUGUUACGUCCGUCAAAGAAUUUAUUACCAUAGUUGGCGUGUUACUAUUGGCAACCCGAAGAAAUUACUAAAAAGACGGAACGGUGGAAUGUUUCCUCAUCAACCGAAGUAUUGGAGUCGAUCUAACAAGCUAUUAUAUAGCAUCUUUUGCUGAAGUUGGGAGGUAUCUUUUCUUGUUAAUGUUCUCGAAGUGUGCGUUAAUGUGUCAAUUCAGCACCCGGAUUGCAUUCUUGCGUCUCUAUCAAGUACAUGCUGUUUUGUAAUCGGUGGUGUUCUGCACUUUGUUUUAAGAGGUUUAAAGAAAGUAGUGCAUUAUACUUUGGGUUGGCUUGUGAAGGCUUUGUCUAAGCUGUCUAAGCCUUUUAACCCAAGAAUUAACCAGUUGGUAUUUUUUGGGGAAGUAUUCCUGUCUUUUUAAUAUGCUUUUCCUAAGACGUUUUGUAUGCCCUUGGGGAAGGCAUAUUGUAUGUUAUCGUAGUUGUAAUUGAUAUUUUCCUUUACAUUUAUUUUUAAACGCUAAUGGGGGGAUUAGUUUUACUGUGAAUAGGAAAUUGCCUGUUGAGCUCUAUUUUUUAUUUAUCAUGUUCCUAAAAAUUGAAAUUUUCUUGUCCUGUUUCAGCAGCGCCCUCCGGAUGAUUGUAUCACGGGUUUCUUAGGGGUUAAUAAGCUCCUGUUUGUCCUUAUUAGAGUUUAUAUUUGCUGCUUAUUAAAAGUAAAUUAUUUAUAACCGCAUGUUCUGCGAAGGGUUUUUAAGAGCUGAUGCCGCAAAACCAAAUUGGCUGGUUGCAAGUUAUUUUUCCUUAAACCAGUUUUAGUUGAUACUUGGUAUGUAGUGAGUUUGGCAAGUUUUCUGCGCAAACAAAUUAAUCUGUGCAAGAAGACGACAUUGUGUUUUACCAGCAGUGUAAGAAAAUGGCAGAUAUUGGAAGUAUUAAGCAUUUUUUGUUUUUUUUUUUUGAAAUGUAUUCAUUAAAUUUAACUAGUAAGAAGUGUUCGUAUUUUUAGUGUAUUCAUUAAAUUUAUUUAGUAAAAAGUUAUGUGGUUUUUUUCUUUCAUCUUUUUAAGUACAUUAAUCUUUUUUAAAGUAUAGGUGUAUCUUAGUUUUUACACAUUUAUGCAUUUUAAAAAUGUAAUAUAAUAAUAAUAUAAUAAAAUUUUGUAAUAUUUUUGUAGAUUUAUUUAAAUUAUUUUAUUUAUUGAUAUUUUUUAUUUUAAUAAUUAAUUUUUGUAAUUAUUUAUGAUUAUCUUCAGCCUAAUGGUGUACUUGUGAUGCCAAUAUAAUCUGGUUAAGAUGGUAUCAUUUUUUUGUUAGAACUGAUAAUUGCCUUUGUUUUUGGUCAGUCAAGUGAAUUCAGUCCACUUUUUAACAUUUUUGUAGGUGUUAUAGAAAGUUUUAACGUGUUUUAAUAUAUUUUAUUAAUAAAUGAAAAUUAUUAGAACAAUUGCAAGUACGGACAGUAAAUCUAAUUGGUUUGAAUGUAGAAAAGAUCCUCACCGCACUUAAAAUACAGUUUCUGCUAAAUUGUUUCAAGGGGGGCGGUGGUGGGUGGUAAUAUAUUAUUAAAUGCAAUUUUUUUGGAAAACAUCAUAAAUUCUGUUGUAAUUAUGUUAAUGUUUAAUCUGAUCAUGAUAUUGUUAGCUGCUUUGAGGGUUUUUGUGACAUUGUAAAGAUUUGGCAAUGCAUGGUUUGUUUUGGUUAUUGAUUGAUGUUUUUCUGGAAUAUUUGGGGGGGGAGGUUUUGUGCUCGUGGUUGUGGAUUCAUAAGCUCUAACUGGGAAGAGCGCCUGGGCACUUGAAAAUGUGUUUGGGAGGUUAGCGGUUCGAAUCCGCUUGAAUCCUUUUGUUUUAACGCCGUGCUUUGUAGUUAACAAAUCUGUCUUGUUUAUUUGGAGGGCCAUAAUUAAUUGAAAUUCAAACUCUUUAUUAUUGCAAAAAAAAGUAGCGGUAAUGUAGGUAAUUUACUUACUUUUAGGCAUGUAUAUCUUAGUAACAAAUCUUCCAGAAAUUGUAAGGAAGAAUGACAGUCUGUCUCGCCUUGUUGGGCUUCAUCACUCUCCAAGGUUAGUUUAAAGUAUUUUUGCAUUUUAAUUUAAUUUAACUUAAUUUGUUGUUUUAUUUAAAAUAUUGAAAAUAUGUUUAAUUAAUCUUAAAAUUUAACAUAUUAGUUAUAUUCAUUGCAGAAUAUAAACAUGCGAAGGUAUAUGUAUUUUUUAUAAUAGUUUUUAUUUUAAUAAUAUUAUUAUUAUUAAUACGAAGAAUAUUUUUUUAUUAAAAAAUAGAUUAAUUGAAUAUAAAUCCAUAAAAUUUAAUGAAAUUUUAUAUUUUAAGUUGUGACAUUAUAAACAAUAAAAUAAAAUAGAAAGAAAUUUUAAAUUUCAUUUCAAAUAGCGCAUGAUUGGCAUAGUUUUUUAUGCUAAAUGUUCUGUUCUGUUCUUUUUCUUUCCUCAAUUAUGUUAAAUAGUCUCGAUUUUCAUUUGAUCUUCUAUUUUUACUUUCAUCAGCAUUUGAUUCAGACACAUUUUUACUCUUUUUUUUUUAAAUUUCACCUACAUUUGAUGGAACAAUUUGUUAGAUAAAAAUAAAAAAAUAAUUAAAUUAUAAUUCAUUAAAAUAUGAUGCUUACAAUGAAUAUAUAUGCAGUGGCGGAGCCACGUUUUGGCUGGCUGGGUCAAGGCUUGAGCUGACUUUUUAAUUUUUUAUAUAUAUAUUUAUAAAUAAUUAUAAAUUUUAUAAUUUAACCAAAAUUAAAAUUAUAAUUUAGUCUGAAUUAAAAUUCUUUCUUGUCACAUGCCUCUUCAAAAUUGGGCAAUAUAUUCUUUUUCAUUUUUAUUGCACAAAUCACAUAAUCGUUUGUCUGGCAUGAAAAUUGCUUAUUUGAAAAAAAUAUUAUAACAUAUUUAAGUUUUGAGUCAAAUAUGAAAAUUCAUAUGUUGGAAAUGUGGCUGUUGAUGAGAGACAGAAAAUUCAUAUCCUCACCUUGAUAGUUAAGGCAGGCAUCUAUUAAAUUUUUUAAGAAUUUGCAACCGAAUAAAUCUCCAAGCUCUACAAAAUAAUGACUUCAAUAUUAUCAAAUGCUUGAUUACAUAUUAGAAAAGUAUCAAAUUUUGAUUAAGUUCAGUUUGAACCCGCUAUCAUUAUUAUUAUUAUUAAUGCUAAUUAUAUAUAUAUAUAGCUAAAAUUCAUACAUAUCUCGUUAAAACAAAAUUUUAGAUUUAUACUCUUUCUAAAUAAACUAAAUUUGUUAGAUACUUGUUAAAUUAUAAACUAAAUUAUCAUCAACAAUUUCAAAUCAAAAAUCAAUUUGAUCUAAUUCUUCCUUUUUCAAUUAUUUGGAACAAAAUAUAUAAAAACAUUUAAAAAACUAAUUUUUUGACUGAAUUCUUAAGUAAUAAAAUGCAAUUAGAAUAGUCAAAAAUUAAAUUUAAAAAAUAACUUAAAAUAAACAAACCCAAAACGAAAUCCAGAAUUUUCUCCCUAAAAAAGUCUACUAAAGCCGCCGGCCCAUGUUAGUCAAUUCACCGCCUCAUCUUAUCUUCGCCCGCGAACUUUCAGCCACCGAUAUUUACGCAACCUAGUUAAUCUCAGCCGUUGGAUCGGGCCUCCCUGCUAUUAAAUACCGCACAACCCCUUGGCUCUCUGUUCUCCAUUCGUUCCUCCAUCCUCAAUCUCUGUUUGCUUCUCCCUCAGAUCUAAUAGAGUCUGCGUCUCCUCGUUAAUAUCUUUUUUCAGAUCGGUAUAGAUCGUUCAACGAUCUACGAUUUGAUCAUGUGUUAUUGCGUUUUGAUUCAGCGGUCUGCCUUCCGCUGCGGAUCUGAAGGCUUGUGUUUCAAGAAUCGUUUUCUGCUCGGCGUUGCCUUCAGAUCCUGAGGACCUUGGCGCGGUUAGGGAAGAUCCGUUGACCUGCGUUGCUGAUCCGUUCUUGGGCGAUGCCUGGCACUUCUUGGAUUUUUGUGUUUGGAUCUUUUUCUGUCGCGUCAAGGCUGCUCAAAGCCGGCAGAUGCACAGGUUCUUUAAUCGAUCUCAUAGAUGGAGGAGGAGAGGUGGUUGUGCGCCGAUUACGCAAUGAAGUCCCUAGAAGUUGUUUAUUUGGUGCCUUCGAUUGUAACUCAAGUUUAUAACGACGCGAUUGAUAAUUUCUCAGAUAUUCUUGGUAUGGGUUCAAAUUCGAAAGGUAUAUGUUUGGCUUGUGCAUGUGGCAGGCUGGAAGAUAUUUUAGAUACUGAAUAUUUUAUCUGUUGUUACUCGACCGUUGCCAUGUCAGGUGCGCUUGCAUGGCCGGUCCAAAAAUAAUAAAAUUCUUAUUUUGUUUUUGGAGGGGAGAUGGUACGGGGUUUUGCCCGACUCUCCUCUCUGCGGGUGUCCCCUCUCUCUCUCUCUCUCUCUCUCUCUCUCUUGCUGCUUCGUUUUAUCUGCAUCAAACAGUUCGUUGGGUGGGCGUCCUGAUUGUGUAUGAUUUAUCUUUCAUGAUAAUCAAGGCAACUAGGACGUCCAUGCAACUGUCCAUUUUAUUGAUCCAGCAAUAGCGAGGAUAUCGGAUUAAGCACCACGGCUAUAUAUUGCAAGAGGUACAAGAAUCAUUGCUUUUACAGUAAUUUUCUAAUUUUCUUUAUCAAUUUAUCUAAUAUGUCGGCAGUAUUACAAAAUAUAAUAAUAAUAAUAUUAAUAUUAAAGAGCGAGCUAUCAUCUUACCAAAACAUAUUAUGAAAGUGCAGGUUUUAAUCCAAAUUUGAGAUGCAGGUUCCAAAGUAUUUAGAUUGUGUGGCCUUAAGUUAUGGAAAUUAAUUAAUGAUUUGCAAUAAGUUGGAAGCAUUCAAAGUUAAAUUAUCUGUUUAUGUUUUUUACCAAAUGGCUUUGAUUCAACUGGGUAACAAUUUAAGUUCCCUACAAUGUUUACAUAGUUAUGUUGUCACUGCAAAAGAUGUUUGAUUGUGCAGUUUUGUUACGUCAGUACUUCGGAACUUUUUUUGUAGCUAACGGGAUGGCGGUCGUUCUACGUCGUUUGUCUACUAGCUUCAAGUAUUCUUGUAAUAUGCUAUAGGCUGAGAAGUUAUUCAUACUAACCUGAGUUGUAAAGAGCACACAAUGCGGCAGAGUGAUCGCUACGGUGUGGCUGCUAAUCGGCGCUGCAAGUUAUCAGGAAGAUCUUGGGGUUGCUGCUGGAAGAUCCUGGGGUUUCUGCUGGCUCUGAUAUUGGUGAAUGGUUGUUGAAUAUCGAUAUGCUGCUGCUUUUGAUGGUGAACCAUGUUUUCCUGAAGGCACUUGAAGAGGAUAACGGUCUCGACUUGAUCAGUUCCUUUACUAGUUCAGUAUGAAGUUAUUAAAGGCAUUAGGGAAAAGUAUACGUGCAUCAUUUAAGAUUUAAUUAGUGUGUGGUCAUUUCAAUUCGUAUAAGUUGAGGUGGUUUUUCCUAUUUACAUGAAAUUUUUGUGAAGUGUAGGUGUUGUAAUUGAAAAAAUUGUCUUGAACUUAUUUUAUCGUUGAACUUAUUUUGUCCGUGGGGUUUCUUGUUUAGUGGGUUGUAAAAGUAACGUUUGGCGCUAAUUAGUGGGAUAGAUCGAUUUGUUAAGAAUUUGUUGUGGGUUGAUCACACGCCUGGUGGGGGGUGAUUAAUUUGAGACAACGGUUGGUGUGGUA